rnacentral:rRNA from 1 species
AGGUGCGAUCAUACCAGCACUAAUGCACCGGAUCCCAUCAGAACUUUGCAGUUAAGCGUGCUUGGGCGAGAGUAGUACUAGGAUGGGUGACCUCUUGGGAAGUCCUCGUGUUGCACCUCCUU